rnacentral:rRNA from 1 species
UGAGCAAUCUGCCCUUCUCAUCGGAAUAAGCGUUGGAAACGACGUCUAAUGCCGAAUACGACCUCCUUUCGCAUGAUCGGAGGUGGAAAGCUCCGGCGGAGAAGGAUGAGCUCGCGGCCUAUCAGCUAGUUGGUGUGGGUAAUGGCCCACCAAGGCGACGACGGGUAGCCGGCCUGAGAGGGUGACCCGGCCACACGUGGGACUGAGGCACGGCNGACGCCUCCCGGGUAAGGGCGACG